AAAGGAGCACAUUUGUUUGUGAGGAUAAAGAGGUACAUAGGGAAUAAAGGAGUACUCAGAAACAGCACCUCACAGACCCAAGUACCAACCCCGAGAUGGAGCUCAGGACUCAGGGAGAAGCCUCUUGGCGGUUCUCUUCCGUCUGUGAUAUCAGUUACUUUUCCGCUUGCCGUACCUGCAUACCUGAAGUGACCAACGUAAAGGAUGCUGCUGAUAAGGGAAGGAGCCCAUCACUAAUUAUCAAGGAGACUCAGAUUGAUGGAGUGAGCUUGCCACAGAACCUUCCAAGGGAUUAAUUGGAAAAAAAGAAGAAUAAGACUAAGACAGGAAAUAAGUACAAGUUCGGCGGUCAAAUUUAUGCCAGUUUGGAAGGAUUUAUAAAAGAGAUAAAUCAACAGGGAUUGGAAGGAAGGUACCAUCUAGAAAGAAUCAGAGACAUCAGAGACAUCUCAUAACAGUGUGGCCACAUGAGUAGCCUGCCUGAUUCCAGAGUGGCCCUGAUCAGGAGUGACCAUGUUCCGUAAUCUACCUAGAAGCUGGAUGCACCAUUUUUUGUCCAAUUCCCGAAUUGCCUGGUCAGCAGGGACUACGUCUCACGAGCUCCCGUGGCUGGCAGGGACCAAGUUUCCACUCCUCUUGGGUUUUUUCUUUGUUUUGUUUUGCUUUGUUUUUUUGUUUGGUUGGUUGGUUUUGUUUGUAUGCGCAGUAAAAGUAUGACAGCAUCUCUGAAGGUACAACAUACAUUUGUCCUAUAAAGAUCCGUAGAGAUUACGAGAAACCCAUAAAGAAACAAGCAUGCAGAGCAAGGAUCUCUAAAAACAGAAGAACCCAAUGUUUGGGAUCUGUUACUGUCCCUUUAAAUUGAUCUACAAGGCCCAGAUCAUAUUGCAUGUGUGGCAGGAACACCCAGAAGCCAUCACCUGAACACUGCCACCCACCCUUUGAAAACAGCUGGGUUAAGUUAGUGUGGACGUAACAGAAGACAGAAUGUACAAGCAGCACAAGCGAGAACAACCUGAGUCGCAUAUGCCUCAAGAAGGCAGGUAAAGGAGACCCCAUAGCCAGGUGCAGAAGUGUGCACACGGAGUGAACUUACAGGUCAAAGGGGGCAGAAAAUCCAGAUCACACAUUACACACCGCAAUACAUCUCUGCAUGUGUGUAUGGUCUUAACCAUGGGUGUGGGGAGGGCACGCCCUCAAGGAACAAAGAUGAAAGAAAGAUGAUCAUCUGGGCAGGAACACCAAAAUAUGUUCUCUCAUAUGCCUGA
rnacentral:sRNA from 1 species